ACGUUUUUGUUGGUAUCAUACUAAGGAAAUACCUCCGAACCAUAUUAACCGACCUGUUGCAACACUGCUCACUGAUAUGGAUAGUAAGAUAAUAUAUUGGAAUGUUUUGUAACAAAGACAAAUGGAACGUAUCAAGAAAACUAGUCAUCAUUUGAACUGAUAAAACAACAGAAUUGGCGUUUUACUGAGGGGAAUAUUUUAAAGGGAAGGAAGAUUAAGAAGAAGAGUAGCUGCUGCUUCAGCAAGAGAUAACAGGGAUCCUAGUACAACACUAAAUACCAAAGGACGAUGGAAGCGAGGACGGUGUGGCAUCACUGCUAGUCGACUGGAGGAAAGGUCAAUGCUAAAAGAGAGAAACAGUGAGGCUGAAGGAGGGAAACAGUGAGGCUGAAGGCUGAAGGAGAGAAACAGUGAGGCUGAAGGAGGGAAACGUUAUCCACCUGGAGGAAGUCUCAGGGUGGUGAGUUGUGGCUCUCUGCUUCGUUAUCAUCGCUGUCAUCUCUGACAAUGAAAAACAGUGGAUGGGGGCGGAGCAGAGCCAGACAGGAAAAGAGGGAAAGAGAGGCCCGAGCAGAGACGGAAGAAAACAC
rnacentral:lncRNA from 1 species